CUUGCGGCCAUAUGACGUUGAAACACAGAGUCUCGUACAAACACCGAAGUUAAGUAACACCUCGAACCUGGUCAGUACCUAAAUGGGUAACCGCUUGGGAAUGUCAAGUGCUGUAAG